rnacentral:rRNA from 1 species
AAUCAACGCUGGCGGCGUGCCUAACACAUGCAAGUCGAACGCGAAAGGGGGCUUCGGCUCCUGAGUAGAGUGGCGUCCGGGUGAGUAACACGUAGGUAAUCUACCUUCGGGUGGGGAAUAACCAGUCGAAAGGUUGGCUAAUACCGCAUAAUGCAGCGGCACCUAAUGGUGAUUAGUUGUUAAAGCGGGGGAUCGUAAGACCUCGCGCCUGAAGAGGAGCCUGCGGCAGAUUAGCAGUUGGUGAGGUAAUGGCUCACCAAGGCAUCGAUCUGUAGCUGGUCUGAGAGGACGGCCAGCCACACUGGCACUGACACACGGGCCAGACUCCUACGGGAGGCAGCAGUGGGGAAUUUUGGGCAAUGGGCGAAAGCCUGACCCAGCAACGCCGCGCGAGGGAGGAAAUCCUUCGGGAUGUAAACCUCUUUCAGCUCCGACGAAGCGAGAGUGACGGUAGGAGCAGAAGAAGCACCGGCCAACUACGUGCCAGCCGCCGCCGUAA